UCCUACGGGGGGCAGCAGUGAGGAAUAUUGGUCAAUGGGCUUACGCCUGAACCAGCCAAGUCGCGUGAGGGAAGACUGCCCUAUGGGUUGUAAACCUCUUUUGUCAGGGAGCAACGCCGGCUACGUGUAGCCGGACUGAGAGUACCUGAAGAAAAAGCAUCGGCUAACUCCGUGCCAGCAGCCGCGGUAAUACGGAGGAUGCGAGCGUUAUCCGGAUUUAUUGGGUUUAAAGGGAGCGUAGGUGGAUUGUUAAGUCAGUUGUGAAAGUUUGCGGCUCAACCGUAAAAUUGCAGUUGAAACUGGCA
rnacentral:rRNA from 1 species